GGCGGCAGCGGCAAAGGAGCACGGGGACGAGGAGGAGGACGAGGAGGAGGAUGGCACGCGCGGGGCCCGCACGUGGAGGCCGGCGCGGGGGCGCGGGCAGGGCCGGCUGCUGAGACGCGCUGCUGCCCCCCGCGCGGGCACCGCGGCUUCAAUGGCGCCAUCGCCCAGGACCAGCAGCCGGCAAGAUGCGACCGCCCUGCCCAGCAUGUCCUCAACUUUUUGGGCGUUCAUGAUCCUGGCCAGCCUGCUCAUCGCUUACUGCAGUCAGCUGGCCGCUGGAACCUGUGAGAUUGUGACCCUAGACCGGGACAGCAGCCAGCCACGAAGGACGAUCGCCCGGCAGACAGCACGCUGUGCAUGCAGAAAGGGGCAGAUUGCAGGCACCACUCGAGCCCGGCCUGCUUGUGUGGACGCACGGAUUAUCAAGACAAAGCAGUGGUGUGACAUGCUCCCUUGCCUGGAGGGGGAAGGCUGCGACUUGUUAAUCAACCGGUCAGGCUGGACUUGCACACAGCCCGGAGGGCGGAUAAAGACCACCACGCUACCGCUGUAGCCUUCUAGAAGAUACUAGUAUGUACAAACCCACCAGUCUUCUGGAAGGCAUAUGGACAACAUCCAUCUGGAUAAUCAGAAAGAAGUGCCCAAGGCACUUGGAACCCAGUGAUGCCAUUGCACAGAAAGCCAGCAGAUGGAAACGGUCAGGUGUCCAUCAGUGGCUGAUGGGACUUCUGAAGGUCUCCUGACAAUCGCAGCCCCUGCGGUGCCCCUGGGAGUGGCCGUGGCUCCCUGGAGACUCUACACCUCAAGCCACAGUCCUCCAUCCUUUGUGGACACCGCCUGUUCUCCAUCUACCCACAGUUUCCCAGAGGCCUAACAAGGACAGCCCAAUUCCUCAGAGCUCUGAGCUCAAGUCUGUCCAGCUGAACCCAGGAGGCCAGGACUCAGACACACAGGUCGGGGUGGUGCCAGGAAUCAGCAAUACCUGGUACGUGGAGCCUGGCCGCACCCACCUUCCCUAGCCACUUGCUCCCUGGAGUUGGAGGACAAGAACAAGGAGGCUGCAGCCCAGCCAGCUGGGCCACAACGCAAGGUCUGGGGACUGUUGGGUGCAGAAGCCACCACUUCCUGUGUCCCAGACUGUCUGAAUUGCUUUUAUUUUCUUAUACUUUCAGUAUACUCAAUAGACCAAAGAGCAAAUCUAUUUUAACGUGGACGCAUCCCUGCUGCCAAGAGGUCCCGGGUUUGAUUGUGGGGCGGGGGAGGGCACAGUGGCAGACAUGCUGGUGGCCCAGGCAGCAUGGAGAGGGCAUUCGCGGCCAAGACCCCCGCCCCACGAACACUGCAGCGUGCUCUAGGAGGAUGGCUUUGCCCAGAAGGACACCACUGUGGUGCACCUGCAGGACCCAGCCGGGGCGUGGCCGGCGACGGCCCCCAGCGGACAGCAAGGGCCCCGGACACAGACCCUUUGCCCCUGUGCUUAGACCAACUCUAUCAUACUAAAAUCACUUUCUGUUUUAACCAGUUAGACAUGCCUCUUCCACAGCUCCAUUUUUGAUAGUUGGAUAAUCCACCAUUUGCCAAGAGCAUGCUGGGUCUCCCGUGACUGCUAUCUCAUCUGAUACACCAUUCAGCUCCAGAAAGCAAAUUAAAGAAAACUGAAGUAACCCUGUUUGAAAGAGAUCAUUAAAUGUAUUUUGCAAAAGCCUAAAGUUAUAUAUUUAACAGUUUUUAUAUGUUGUAUAUUUGUAGAAAAUCCUAUUUAACAUUUGAUGGCAGGUCUGACCAUCCCGAGAGUUGUGGCCAGGCCCCCUAUGAUCCUGGAGACUCUGGGGUGGCCAUGGAGGACCUCAAUGCAGGCAUGGAGGGGCCAAGCUGUGGGUGAGGUGCAGAGGACCUUGCCCAUGCUAGGAAACCGUCUCUCUUUGCUUUGGUUUGGUCUGGUAGCUCACGCCCCCUGUGAGUCUGUGUGUUGGUAAACAUAGAGUGUACAAUAUUUUGGUCAUGCCUCCUCUUAUGGGUUUUGGUCCCUCUCUCUCUCUCUCUCUCUCUUAACCCCCUUUGCCAUCCAUAGAUCCUGAGUCCAUGUUCAGCCAAUUUGCCUUUCCCAAGUAAAUGGCCCCCUUCAUUCUCAGAGGUCCUUCUUCUCCCCACCAGGAGGCUGAGACAGCAGGCCUGGAGAGGGUGGAGGAGCUGGGGAAGAGUCACCUUCCUUGGUUGCUCUACACUGUGGUGCCAGAGGCCAGCGGAUAAGGGACAGACACGGUCCCCAUUCAUUUUCCUGAGUUCUUCUAAAAGUAUACUACCUACACGUCCAAUUAACAUGACUAUCAUGCUAGUAAUAUGCUACUAAAGAAAAAAGUAAAAAUAUAUAUAUAUUUAACUCCAGUAUAUAGAUGCCGUUCCAGCAACCAUAGGCUAAAGAUAGGAAAGAAAGCCCAUUUCUGUAAGACCCAUUCCAGUAUCCACGUGUCCUCCCUUCAUUCAUGCAGAGGGAUGAGCAUCCUGGGCAAAGAGAUGAGGCUAAGAUGAGGGAGUUCUUGUCAGAGGAGGUGGUCAGGCAAGGCCACUGUGCCCCAUAGUGCCAGGCUCCAACAGCCUGUGUUACAGGGCGUGAGCAGGGCACGAGGGCUCAUGUCACCUCUGAACCUCAACAUCCAUACCACCUCCCCUCGGCUGUUUCUUUUGAAAGCUAGCAUAGACACGUCUGAGGGCAGAGACCGGGAGAUUUAAGAUGUUGCAGCGUAUUUUCCCCCUUGUUUUACAGUAUCCAAUUUUGUGUUGAUUCAGCUAAAUUAUGAAAAUAAAGAAAAAAAAGUCCUUUGAUAA